rnacentral:rRNA from 1 species
GAUGAACGCUGGCGGCGUGCCUAAUACAUGCAAGUCGAGCGAACGGACGAGAAGCUUGUUUCUCUGAUGUUAGCGGCGCACGUGUGAGUAACACGUGGAUCACCUACCUAUAAGACUGGGAUAACUUCGGGAAACCGGAGCUAAUACCGGAUAAUAUUUUGAACCGCAUGGUUCAUAUGUGAAAGACGGUCUUGCUGUCACUUAUAGAUGGAUCCGCGCUGCAUUAGAUAGUUGGUAAGGUAACGGCUUACCAAGGCAACGAUGCAUAGCCGACCUGAGAGGCGGGUAGCCCGCACGAGAGCUCGAACAGGGUCAAUGGGCCUGCGGGAGGCAGCAGUAGGGAACCUGCGGCAGUAGGCGAGAGCCUUGCGGAACGGCGCCGCGUGUGUGAUGAAGGUCUUCGGUGCGUAAAACUCUGUUAUUAGGGAAAAACAUCUGUGAGCGGAAAUGUACACAUCGUGACGGUACCUAAUCAGAAAGCCACGGCUAACUACGUG